rnacentral:tRNA from 1 species
UCCGCGGUAGCUCAAUGGUGAGAGCAUCGCACGAGUAAUGCGAAGACGUGGGCUCGUUCCCCACCUGCGGAC